CUUCAAUAAGGAAAGAAGUUACUUUCAGUGAGCUGCUUGUCUCAAACCAUAGCUUCUGGGAAGUAUAGGGUGCUGCGUUUCAGUAAACAGCCAUGGCUCUUGGACUUCUUCUUUGGGUUUCCUACAUUUGUUUUUUGCUGUUUAAUGACAGUGCUGGAUUGCCAUCUGUAAAAGGGUAUGGUUAUCCAUAUAAAGCUGACUUGCGUAACAUGGGUGAUGCUAGGGAAGAUGAAGUCGAGACUGGGCAGGCUUCAGAUUACCAACCGACUGGCCUGUUUUACACACGCUACA